rnacentral:lncRNA from 1 species
AUGGCAGAACAAAGAGGCCCAGUCUGCAGACAGUGGAGGUGGGUCAGGAGACGGAGCCAGGGUGAAUCUGUGACUCGCGCCGCUCUGCAGUGCUUCUUCUGCUUUUGGGAACCAGAUCUUGAUCUGCAGAGCCUUAAGGCUGGCCCAAGGCAGGUGCAGAUGCAGGAAGAACUCCUACAGCUCUGUCUACUUUGGGGAGAAGCUAAUCACAAGAGGCUGGCCUCCAUCUCCACCUUGGUGGGGAGGCGGGCACCGGGGCCCGAGGAGAGGGAGAGGUGGUGGGAGGUCAGGAUCCACUCCCAGGAGGCCAGGGUACUUGGGAGCCCCCACCUCAGCUCCACCGGCCUCUCUCCUCACCCCUUCCUCUCCACUCCUUCCCUCCCUCUGCUCCUCCCAAGUCUGCACCUCCUUUCUGUUAACCCAGUUCCCUCUUCUUUCUUUCUUUCCUCUUUCUCUGUAUAUUUAUUCUCAAUUUUCCUUCGUUUGUUUUCCUCCUGCCCUCCCUCCACUGUUUUCUCUUCCUUCCCUCUUUCCUUUUCCCUAGCUUUCCUCCGUUCCUCUCCAUCUUUCUCCCAUUCAUUUUUCUCUUUUACUUUUUUAAACUUCUCUCUCUUUUCCUGCCCUUUUCUUUUACUUUCUAGCCUUCUCCUUUUGUUCAUGUGCUUUUCCUUCCUCUCUUGCUUUUCUUCCCUUCUCUCGUACAACAAACAAAUCUUGCUUCUUCAUUCUGUCUUUCAUGAAUGUUCCUUCGUUCCAUCGCUCUUCCCUGCUCCCUCCAAGUCCCCUCCUCUGCCCUCACUACAGGGCUUUCUCAAAUCUUCUCUUCCCUCACCAGUCUUUUUGUCGUUCUCAGGUUUUUUCCAGUCCUUUGUGCAGCUUCCUCAGCCUCCUUUCCAUCUUCCAUUGUUUAUAAAUCCUCUCUCUGAACAGGCAGAAGGCAUAAAUGUGCCCCCUCCUCAGAUCAGGGCUCUGUCCUGCAUCAGCCUACCCACCCCUCACACCAUUCUUUCUCAGCUUCCCCCAAUGCGGGGUUCAAUUUCAAGGGCUCACAGACGAGGCUGUUCGCCCCUAGCUGAGAAGUCAGGGCUGGGUCCACAGCUCCCCAGUACAGGCUUAGGGGACGCUCUGCCAAACUGUCAUGACUCCAUCAAUCCUAGUAUAAAAAAGAAAAAGGAAGAGAAGAAAAGAGUAAAAGAGAGACAGUUCUACAGACUGUGUGCGUGUUGGGGGCAGUUGGUGGAGAUGGGGGAAGAGGUGGAAAAAGGUCUAGAUUCAUCAAAGAGGGAGGGGGCAAAGUCCAGACCCAGGCGCCUUCUCUUAGCUCACCCAGAGCUGGGACAGCCGGUAAAAGAAACCUCAGUCGGCUCCCUGUUAAUUUUGGGAUUGGGUGGGGAUAAGACCUUCCAUCCCAUUCCUCUGGGCUAG